rnacentral:rRNA from 1 species
GACAGAGGGUGCAAACGUUGUUCGGAAUUACUGGGCGUAAAGCGUGCGCAGACGGUUGCGUAAGUCAGAUGUGAAAGCCCCGGGCUCAACCUGGGAAUUGCAUUUGAGACUGCGUAGCUAGGGUGCGGAAGAGGGAAGCGGAAUUUCCGGUGUAGCGGUGAAAUGCGUAGAUAUCGUCAGGAACGCCGAUGGUGAAGACAGGUGACUGGGCUAGUUCUGACACUGAGGCACGAAAGCGUGGGGAGCGAACGGG